rnacentral:rRNA from 1 species
UGGGGGAUAUUGCACAAUGGGGGGAACCCUGAUGCAGCGACGCCGCGUGGGUGAAGGAGCGUUUCGGCGCGUAAAGCCCUAUCGGCAGGGAAGAAGGAGGACGGUACCUGACUAAGAAGCCCCGGCUAACUACGUGCCAGCAGCCGCGGUAAUACGUAGGGGGCAAGCGUUAUCCGGAUUUACUGGGUGUAAAGGGGGCGCAGACGGCAGCGCAAGCCAGGAGUGAAAGCCCGGGGCCCAACCCCGGGACUGCUCUUGGAACUGCGCGGCUGGAGUGCAGGAGGGGCAGGCGGAAUUCCUGGUGUAGCGGUGAAAUGCGUAGAUAUCAGGAGGAACACCGGUGGCGAAGGCGGCCUGCUGGACUGCGACUGACGUUGAGGCCCGAAAGCGUGGGGAGCAAACAGG